CGUGUAGGCGGCUUGGUAAGUCAGAUGUGAAAGCCCUGGGCUCAACCCAGGAAGUGCAUUUGAAACUACUAGACUUGAGUACGGGAGAGGAGGGGGGAAUUCCCGGUGUAGAGGUGAAAUUCGUAGAUAUCGGGAGGAAUACCGGUGGCGAAGGCGCCCCUCUGGACCGAUACUGACGCUGAGACGCGAAAGCGUGGGGAGCAAACAG
rnacentral:rRNA from 1 species